UACGAAGGGGGCUAGCGUUGUUCGGAAUCACUGGGAGUAAAGGGCGCGUAGGCGGCUUUUCAAGUCGGGGGUGAAAGCCUGUGGCUCAACCACAGAAUUGCCUUCGAUACUGUUAGGCUUGAGACCGGAAGAGGUGAGUGGAACUGCGAGUGUAGAGGUGAAAUUCGUAGAUAUUCGCAAGAACACCAGUGGCGAAGGCGGCUCACUGGUCCGGUUCUGACGCUGAGGCGCGAAAGCGUGGGAAGCAAACAGG
rnacentral:rRNA from 1 species